rnacentral:rRNA from 1 species
CAAAAGUUAAACGGCCGCGUUUAGUGCUAAGGUAGCAUAAUAAUUUGCCUUUUUAUUGGAGGCUAGUAUGAAUGGAUUAACGAAGCUUAACUGUUUCUAAUUAUAAAAGUAAAAUUGUGUUAAAGGUGAAAACCCCUUUAUUUCAGUGCAGGACGAAAAGACCCUAUAGAGUUUAUAGUGAACUAACAUUAAUAUAACAAAUAUGUUACACACUUUUAUUGGGGCAAUAAAAGAACAAGAAAACUCUUUUAAAUAAUAAAGAUUUAAAAUAUUAACAAAUUUAAGAUCCUUAAAAAGAAUAAAGAAAAACUACCUUAGGGAUAACAGCGUUAUCCUUCCAGAGAGGACUAAUCGAAGGAAGGGUUUGCGACCUCGAUGUUGGACUAAGGUAUCACUUAAGUGCAGAAGCUUAAAAAGUAAGCCUGUUCGGCUUUUAAUACCUUACAUGAUU